rnacentral:rRNA from 1 species
AGAGUUUGAUCCUGGCUCAGGACGAACGCUGGCGGCACGCUUAACACAUGCAAGUCGAACGAGAGAAGAGGAGCUUGCUUUUCUGAUCUAGUGGCGGACGGGUGAGUAACACGUGAGCAGUCUGCCUUUCAGAGGGGGAUACCGAUUGGAAACGAUCGUUAAUACCGCAUAACAUAAUUGAACCGCAUGAUUUGAUUAUCAAAGAUUUAUCGCUGAAAGAUGAGCUCGCGUCUGAUUAGCUAGUUGGUAAGGUAACGGCUUACCAAGGCGACGAUCAGUAGCCGGACUGAGAGGUUGAUCGGCCACAUUGGGACUGAGACACGGCCCAGACUCCUACGGGAGGCAGCAGUGGGGAAUAUUGCACAAUGGAGGAAACUCUGAUGCAGCGAUGCCGCGUGAGGGAAGAAGGUUUUAGGAUUGUAAACCUCUGUCUUCAGGGACGAAAAAAGACGGUACCUGAGGAGGAAGCUCCGGCUAACUACGUGCCAGCAGCCGCGGUAAUACGUAGGGAGCGAGCGUUGUCCGGAAUUACUGGGUGUAAAGGGAGCGUAGGCGGGAUCGCAAGUCAGAUGUGAAAACUAUGGGCUUAACCCAUAAACUGCAUUUGAAACUGUGGUUCUUGAGUGAAGUAGAGGUAAGCGGAAUUCCUAGUGUAGCGGUGAAAUGCGUAGAUAUUAGGAGGAACAUCAGUGGCGAAGGCGGCUUACUGGGCUUUAACUGACGCUGAGGCUCGAAAGCGUGGGGAGCAAACAGGAUUAGAUACCCUGGUAGUCCACGCCGUAAACGAUGAUUACUAGGUGUGGGGGGACUGACCCCUUCCGUGCCGCAGCAAACGCAAUAAGUAAUCCACCUGGGGAGUACGACCGCAAGGUUGAAACUCAAAGGAAUUGACGGGGGCCUGCACAAGCAGUGGAGUAUGUGGAUUAAUUCGAAGCAACGCGAAGAACCUUACCAGGUCUUGACAUCGUAUGCAUAGCUCAGAGAUGAGUGAAAUCUCUCCGGAGACAUAUAGACAGGUGGUGCAUGGUUGUCGUCAGCUCGUGUCGUGAGAUGUUGGGUUAAGUCCCGCAACGAGCGCAACCCUUACUGUUAGUUGCUACGCAAGAGCACUCUAGCAGGACUGCCGUUGACAAAACGGAGGAAGGUGGGGAUGACGUCAAAUCAUCAUGCCCCUUAUGACCUGGGCCUCACACGUACUACAAUGGCUGUCAACAGAGGGAAGCAAAGCCGCGAGGUGGAGCGAACCCCUAAAAGCAGUCUUAGUUCGGAUUGUAGGCUGCAACCCGCCUACAUGAAGUCGGAAUUGCUAGUAAUCGCAGAUCAGCAUGCUGCGGUGAAUACGUUCCCGGGCCUUGUACACACCGCCCGUCACGCCAUGGGAGUCGGUAACACCCGAAGCCUGUAGUCUAACCGCAAGGAGGACGCAGUCGAAGGUGGGAGUGAUGACUGGGGUGAAGUCGUAACAAGGUA